GGGCAAUUAGCUCAGUUGGUUUAGAGCGCUUGCUUGACAGGCAAGAGGUCACAAGUUCGAAUCUUGUAUUGCCCA
rnacentral:tRNA from 2 species